CUUACCUGUUAGACAUGUUGUGCGAUGCUGUUCCGAGCGAUCGUCUUCCCAGGACCGACAAGGCGUACGACAGAGUCACCAGAGGGGAGUCUUCAUCGCUGUCAACAGGCUGGACAAACAAACAUGAGGACACAUUUUAUAUGAUACGGGAUGUUGGCACAUUGGAACCUAGUGCCGAUGUCUGCGGGCAAGCAAUGAACUUAAUGGGUCGCGGGUACGAGGAGAAGAAGAUGGCGCUGCCUAGAAAGGGGGCCAGCGGAGUGUAAAAGAUGGUGGUGAUCAGCGUCUGAAGCAGCAGCAUGGCCGAGUCUGUUCACACGCCAGUCAAGAACAAACCUGUGGAAGUCACGAGGAUGGACACGACGAAGAAGUCGAGUAGGAAGCUCUCGGAAGCGCGCGGGCAGUCAAAGUGAAAGAAAACCAGUGUGAAGAGCAAGGUGAGGAACUGGAAGCUGGGGUCGCAGAAGGACGAGCGCAGGAGCUUCAUCCCGGCGACGGUGGUCAGCAGGACAUCGCAGCUGCGUGGGGACAACAAAAAAACGCGUCAACAGCACCACCCCCUUGCGACCGAGCGAAGGUAAGGCGGGUCUUACUGGAUCCCCAGCCUCUUGCGGUGGCUCAGGGAGAAGCCGUCGUUGGUGAGCGCGCUCAGUAGGAUGGCGGGGUACACCACGUACUUCUCGAAGCACAGCAGGCCCACGUACAGACGCUCGAACCACAUCAGCACUGCGUCCUCUUUCACACACAAAAAGCAGGUAUGCUGUUUUUUCUUUGUUUUUUUUAUAUACACUGCAUUCCAAAUUAUUAUGCAAACGAUAUUUUUGUAUAAUCUUCCUAAAUCUUUGCUACAAAUGACAGUGGGCAUCAUUUUCAAGUCAUCAACCGUCGGAAUAAAAUUUCAACGUUUUCUUUUUAAACAACCUCCAAAUGAUGCAAGUAUUCUUUUGGGGGGGAAAAACCUAUCAUGCACUGUUCCAAAUCAUUACGCAUAGUUUGAAAGUUUUAAACGGUCAUUUAUUGAAUUUGCAGCAUUAAGAGGUCAUAUUUACUGAAAUCAAAAGCUAUUUCAAUCCAAAACAUUGUAACAAGUCAAGUUACAUUUGGAUAUUGGAGCCCUUAUUUGAUAGCAGCUUCACAAUUCUUACAGCCAUUAAACUUGUGACGUUUUGGAGAGCUUCUGCUUGAACUUCUUUUGUCAUGCUUGAAGACGAUUUUGGUCAUUGAAGCGCUGUUCAUCCUUUGGUACCGUGGAAGAAAGUGGUCAUUCAAAAAGUCCACAUACUUUUCACCCCCUCAAGGACCCCGGAUCUGUAUUCUUUUCAAAUUAUGAGCCUCCUAGCAUUUCAGUUGGCAUACACCAUUCAUUUUUUUAAAUAAUGAUUUUUAUUGUGAAACAUCUGCAGGAAAGUGUUGUGGGGAAAUUCAUUAACUUGAACUCAGGGUCGAUCAAAGAUUUGCAGGUGGUCCAGGACCCCAAAAGGUUGGAGAACCACUCAUUUAGAUCACCCACUUAAGUAAGCAAACAGUCAGUCUCAGACCACCAAUAAGGUUCUACAGCGCUGACCUCUGGGCUCAAACUGGUGGUACUCUUUGGUCUUGAGCAGCGGGUGCGAAAUCCACAGCCAGGGGUGAUGCUUCCUCAGCUGGGGGAUCAGGUAGUGCGUCACAAAGCCCACCGUCCCGGCCAGCGCGUACAGCACGAUGGUCACAAAGGGCUGACAAAAAAAAAUUACCAAAAAAUGCGGUAAUAUGAGUUAGUGAGGCAGACUAGUGGUUAAGAAGGGAAGUUUCACCUUUAGCGACAGGAAGACGGUGCUGGCGGUGACGGCGAAGGUCAGAAUGUAGGCCAGCGAGCACACGAUCACGUCCGACAGAAGAAUCUCCUUCUGUGGAACAUCCAGCAUUUGUGAUGAUUAUGAUCAUUAAUAAUACAUAUACAUACACUGCUCAGAGUUAAAAAAAGGCAGUCUGAUAAUAUUGAUGACUAUUGGAAAAUGCUCGCUGGAGGCUUGAUACAAAAUAAAUUGUCGCACACCAUAGAAUUCUGCAGCUUCUUGGGCAGAGGGUCUUCGAUGUCUGUGUCUUGACCUUGCUCUUCUUCGCCCUCCACCAACGUGGGCAUCACUUUGGACUUAAUCAGCGAGCUGCAGGCAAAAGACACGACAGGACGAGAACAUGACAGAGGGGUCGCUGCUCUGCCGACUGAGGUGGUAGGAGAAAACCACCAGCAGGCCGCAGAAACCGGAGAACAAGGCCGGCGUGUGCUGCUCGUCCCACGGCUCCUGCAACACAAGCAUUGAAACAUUUUACCGCUUCGCAGUCAGACUUCAUCCAGGUGUUUUUUGGGGGCACGUUGGACGCGUCUACCUUGAGGGCCCCGAAGCAGAAACCGUAGAGCAGAGACAGAGCCGCCAGGCUGCGGAGGAUGCUGUACACUGCGGAGAUCAGACUUGUAGCCGCUAGAAUGGAAGCACACAAACACUUUGGCCUUGAAUAAUCUACCACCAAAAGAACCAUUUUUCCAUGCUUAUCCUCAUUAGGGUCGCAAUCACACCUAUGGACAAUUUAGAGUCUUCAAUGAAGCUAAUAUGCAUGUUUUUGGGAUGUGGGAGGAAACCGCAGUGCCCGGAGAAAACCCACGCAGGCACGGGGAGAACAUGCAAACACCACACAGGCGGGGCCGGGAUUUCAACCCCGGUCCUCAGAACUAUGUGGCAGAUGUGCUAACCCGGGGAUUGAACCCCGCUCCUCAGAACUGUGAGGCUGACGCUCUAACCAGUCGUCCACCGUGCGCCUGACUACAAUAUAUUCUACUGGAAUUUCUCAUACAUUCCAACACAUGAGUGGCUGACCUGUGCCGCCAAAAAAAUGAAUGUCAAUCUGCUCCAGCAGGUAGAUGGUGAAGGUGUUGACUUGCGGGAAAAGGCCCACCAGAAACGUGAUGGGGAAGCAGUGAGUGAAACCUGUUACAGAAAUCGAUCAACUACUCGCUCAGAACGGAAGUGGCUUUGAGGUUCGAGCGUCUCUCGGUUUUUUUCCGUACCCACUAGCAGAUUCUGCAAAAAGCGCAGCGUGUCGCGGCACACGAUGGUGACGCCGUACAAGGUGGACUCGGGGAGGUCCUUCCUGCGCAGGAGUUGCUCCAGCGUCCAGAUGAGCGAGCAGAAGAUGCAGAAGUAUGCCGCGCGGCUGUAGGCCACCAGCUGGUUGUGACCCUGCACAUACACACAAUGGCAUUCCAUCUACAGUAUCUAGCGGUGUAUGACACAGUAGGUCGGUAGAUUGACAGACAGAUAGAUAGAUAGAUAGACAGACAGAUAGAUAGAUAGCUACUCCAUAUGUUUUGUAAGUAAAACACUUAUCAUUAGUUUUGAACCAUAGAUAAGUAACUCACAUGUGUUGGUGAAGCUGCAUCUGGUUGAACACUCUGCAAAGCAAAUCCACACGGAGUGAAAUUACAAUUUGUAAAGUGACCUGCACAAAAUUAGAGCUAAUACAAUAUUAUAAAGGCGCAAUCUACAGUAGACUGUUUAAUA